rnacentral:rRNA from 1 species
UUGACGGGGCCGCACAAGCGGUGGAGCUAUGUGUUUAAUUCGAAGCAACGCGAAGUAACCUUACCAGGUCUUGACAUCCCGAUGCUAUUUCUAGAGAUAGAAAGUUACUUCGGUACAUCGGUGACAGGUGGUGCAUGGUUGUCGUCAGCUCGUGUCGUGAGAUGUUGGGUUAAGUCCCGCAACGAGCGCAACCCCUAUUGUUAGUUGCCAUCAUUCAGUUGGGCACUCUAGCGAGACUGCCGGUAAUAAACCGGAGGAAGGUGGGGAUGACGUCAAAUCAUCAUGCCCCUUAUGACCUGGGCUACACACGUGCUACAAUGGUUGGUACAACGAGUUGCGAGUCGGUGACGGCGAGCUAAUCUCUUAAAGCCAAUCUCAGUUCGGAUUGUAGGCUGCAACUCGCCUACAUGAAGUCGGAAUCGCUAGUAAUCGCGGAUCAGCACGCCGCGGUGAAUACGUUCCCGGGCCUU